rnacentral:rRNA from 1 species
GACGAGCGCUGGCGGCGUGCUUAACACAUGCAAGUCGAGCGGAAAGGCCCUUUCGGGGGUACUCGAGCGGCGAACGGGUGAGUAACACGUGAGUAAUCUGCCCCUGGCUUUGGGAUAGCCACCGGAAACGGUGAUUAAUACCGGAUACGACCACUUCUCGCAUGGGAUGGUGGUGGAGAGUUUUUCGGCCAGGGAUGUGCUCGCGGCCUAUCAGCUUGAUGGUGAGGUAAUGGCUCACCAUGGCUUCGACGGGUAGCCGGCCUGAGAGGGUGACCGGUCACACUGGGACUGAGACACGGCCCAGACUCCUACGGGAGGCAGCAGUGGGGAAUAUUGGACAAUGGGCGGAAGCCUGAUCCAGCAACGCCGCGUGAGGGAUGACGGCCUUCGGGUUGUAAACCUCUUUCAGCAGGGACGAAGCGCAAGUGACGGUACCUGCAGAAGAAGCACCGGCCAACUACGUGCCAGCCGCCGCUGUAA